CUUGCUAAGUUUGAUGGCGACCGGCGCACGGGUGAGUAACACGUAUCCAACCUGCCGAUAACUCUGGAAUAGCCUUUCGAAAGAAAGAUUAAUACCGGAUAGUAUACGAAUAUCGCAUGAUAUUUUUAUUAAAGAAUUUCGGUUAUCGAUGGGGAUGCGUUCCAUUAGUUUGUUGGCGGGGUAACGGCCCACCAAGACUACGAUGGAUAGGGGUUCUGAGAGGAAGGUCCCCCACAUUGGAACUGAGACACGGUCCAAACUCCUACGGGAGGCAGCAUG
rnacentral:rRNA from 1 species